rnacentral:rRNA from 1 species
UUCCUGACCUCGGAUCAGACGUGAUUACCCGCUGAACUUAAGCAUAUCACUAAGCGGAGGAAAAGAAACUAACAAGGAUUCCCCUAGUAACUGCGAGUGAACAGGGAUUAGCCCAGCACCGAAGCCUGUGGCCAUUUGGUCACUAGGCAAUGUGGUGUUCAGGUUGUUCCGCAAAAGACACUGCUCCACCCUAAGUCCAUCAAUGAGUACGGUAGUACGGACAUGGCCCGGAGAGGGUGAAAGGCCCGUGGGGGUGGAG